UGUCCAGAGGAGGGCAACAAAGCUGGUGAGGGGUCUGGAGCACAGGCCUUAUGAGGAGUGGCUGAAGGAGCUGGGAUUGUUCAGUCUAGAGAAGAGGAGGCUCAGGGGAGACCUUAUUGCUCUCUAUAACUACCUGAAGGGAGGUUGUAGUGAGCUGAGGGUCAGCCUCUUCUCUUGUGUGACUAGUGAUAGGACUAGAGGGAAUGGGUUCAAGCUGCGUCAGGGAAGAUUCAGGCUGGAUGUUAGGAAAUACUACUUCUCUGAAAGGAUGGUCAGGCACUGGAAUGGGCUGCCCAGAGAGGUGGUGGAGUCACCGAGCCUGGUGGUGUUCAAAGAGCGUUUGGAUGUUGUGUUGAGGGACAUGGUUUAGCGAGAACCAUUGGUGAAGGGCGAAUGAAUGGUUGGACUGGAUGAUCCUGUGGGUCUUUUCCAACCUUAGUGAUUCUAUGAUUCUAUGAUUCUAUGAUUAUUUUUUUUGGCCUUGAAAAAAAAAGAAACCCUCAGAUAAUUUAGCGCAGACUAUAAGUAUGAUCUUAGCUAGCGAGACUGGGUUAGAAUUUGACCUCACUUAUCCUCUUUGAAAGAGAGGGAUUCUAUUGAGCAAAGGCAGUUAUAAAAUGUGUUCAAUAACUACUGCAGCAGAGCAGUACUUUUUUGUCAUUGGAAUUCAAAAUUUGCUUUAUGCUUUAUAUAGUCAUUUGAUAAACAGUUACCUGACAUGAAUGUGAUUGGGUCCAGAGAAGAGCUACAAAGAUGGUCAGAGGGCUGGAGCACCUCUCCUGUGAAGAGAGGUUGAGGAUUCUGGGCUUGUUUAGCUUGGAGAAGAGAAGGCUCUGGAGAGAUCUUAUUGCAGCCUUCCAGUAUGUGAAGGAAGUUUACAAACAGAAAGGGGAUCAACUUUUUACAGUCUGAUAGUGUCAGG
ensembl:lncRNA